rnacentral:rRNA from 1 species
CCUACGGGAGGCAGCAGUAAGGAAUAUUGGUCAAUGGAGGCAACUCUGAACCAGCCAUGCCGCGUGCAGGAUGACGGCCCUAUGGGUUGUAAACUGCUUUUGUACCAGAGAAAACCUACUCACGUGUGAGUAGCUGAUAGUAUGGUAAGAAUAAGCAUCGGCUAACUUCGUGCCAGCAGCCGCGGUAAGACGAAGGAUGCAAGCGUUAUCCGGAUUCAUUGGGUUUAAAGGGUGCGUAGGCGGACUUGUAAGUCAGUGGUGAAAUCUCUUCGCUUAACGAAGAAACUGCCAUUGAUACUGCAGGUCUAGAGUAUAGAUGACGUUGGCGGAAUAUGACAUGUAGUGGUGAAAUACUUAGAUAUGUCAUAGAACACCGAUUGCGAAGGCAGCUAACGAAACUAUAACUGACGCUGAGGCACGAAAGUGCGGGGAUCAAACAGGAUUAGAUACCCUGGUAGUCCGCACCGUAAACGAUGAUUACUCGUUGUUGGCGAUAUGACAGUCAGCGACCAAGCGAAAGCGAUAAGAAUCCACCGUGGGAGUACGCCGGCGAACGGUGAAACGUACGAAAGGAGUUAGACGG